UGGGGAAUUUUGGACAAUGGGCGAAAGCCUGAUCCAGCAAUGCCGCGUGUGUGAAGAAGGCCUUCGGGUUGUAAAGCACUUUCAGCGAGGAGGAAGGUGGUGAACUUAAUACGUUCAUCAAUUGACGUUACUCGCAGAAGAAGCACCGGCUAACUCCGUGCCAGCAGCCGCGGUAAUACGGAGGGUGCAAGCGUUAAUCGGAAUUACUGGGCGUAAAGCGCACGCAGGCGGUUUGUUAAGUCAGAUGUGAAAUCCCCGGGCUCAACCUGGGAACUGCAUUUGAAACUGGCAAGCUAGAGUCUCGUAGAGGGGGGUAGAAUUCCAGGUGUAGCGGUGAAAUGCGUAGAGAUCUGGAGGAAUACCGGUGGCGAAGGCGGCCCCCCUGGACGAAGACUGACGCUCAGGUGCGAAAGCGUGGGGCAGCAAACAGGAUUAGAUACCCUGGUAGUCCACGCUGUAAAACGAUGUCGAUUUGGAGGUUGUGCCCUUGAGGCGUGGCUUCCGGAGCUAACGCGUUAAAUCGACCGCCUGGGGAGUACGGCCGCAAGGUUAAAAACUCAAAUG
rnacentral:rRNA from 1 species